UACGAAGGGGGCUAGCGUUGCUCGGAAUCACUAGGCGUAAAGCGCAGGUAGGAGGUUUAGUAAGUCUGUUGUGAAAGCUCCCGGCUUAACUGGGAGAGGUCAACGGAAACUGCUAGGCUAGAGUGCGGUAGAGGUAGCUGGAAUUCCCGGUGUAGCGGUGAAAUGCGUAGAUAUCGGGAGGAAUACCUAUGGCGAAAGCAGGCUACUGGACCGUCACUGACUCUGAUCUGCGAAAGCUAGGGGAGCAAACAGG
rnacentral:rRNA from 1 species